rnacentral:rRNA from 1 species
UCUAGUGGCGCACGGGUGCGUAACGCGUGGGAAUCUGCCCUUGGGUUCGGAAUAACAGUUAGAAAUGACUGCUAAUACCGGAUAAUGUCUUCGGACCAAAGAUUUAUCGCCCAGGGAUGAGCCCGCGUAGGAUUAGCUAGUUGGUGAGGUAAAGGCUCACCAAGGCGACGAUCCUUAGCUGGUCUGAGAGGAUGAUCAGCCACACUGGGACUGAGACACGGCCCAGACUCCUACGGGAGGCAGCAGUGGGGAAUAUUGGACAAUGGGCGAAAGCCUGAUCCAGCAAUGCCGCGUGAGUGAUGAAGGCCUUAGGGUUGUAAAGCUCUUUUACCCGGGAUGAUAAUGACAGUACCGGGAGAAUAAGCCCCGGCUAACUCCGUG